rnacentral:rRNA from 1 species
UACGGAGGGAGCUAGCGUUGUUCGGAAUUACUGGGCGUAAAGCGCACGUAGGCGGCGAUUUAAGUCAGGGGUGAAAGCCCAGUGCUCAACACUGGAACUGCCCUUGAGACUGGAUUGCUAGAAUCUUGGAGAGGCGAGUGGAAUUCCGAGUGUAGAGGUGAAAUUCGUAGAUAUUCGGAAGAACACCAGUGGCGAAGGCGGCUCGCUGGACAAGUAUUGACGCUGAGGUGCGAAAGCGUGGGGAGCAAACAGG